UACAGAGGGUGCAAGCGUUAAUCGGAAUUACUGGGCGUAAAGCGCACGUAGGCGGUUUGCUAAGCCAGCUGUGAAAUCCCCGGGCUCAACCUGGGCACUGCAGUUGGAACUGGCAAGCUAGAGUAGGGUAGAGGGGGAUGGAAUUCCGCGUGUAGCAGUGAAAUGCGUAGAUAUCCGGAGGAACACCGAUGGCGAAGGCAA
rnacentral:rRNA from 1 species